rnacentral:lncRNA from 1 species
AGAGGAUCAGAGCUCUGCACCUCAUUCGUUAGUUGAAUGGCAAUAAAUUGGGAGUAUUGAUACCAAUAUGGUUGAGGUUGACUGGUAGAUGGAGCUAUGAAUGACCAAGGGAAGGUUGUUGUACUCUAUGUUUCUAAAGAUAUAUACCUUCUGCUUGCCGAUAUAGAUCCACUCCUUGUUGCACAGCCCCUCUCCUCAGUCCUCCCAUGGAUCCGCCACCGCCCCAAACACCGCUGCUCUCGCCUGCUCCUUCUGGUGGACUCCUGGAGUCAUGGUAAUUAACAUAUUUUUCUCUUCAUUUGUCUUCUUUUGGGGUUCAUGGUUAUGGAGCAAUGAAGCUAGAAUUCAUCAUUUUCUUGCACUUACUUGUGGACUGGCUUCCCUUUUUGCAGCUUGUGGUUCUUGUGCUGCUGUGGCCUGUUUGGAAGCUGCUGCCCUCCACUGUUUGAGCCGGGGCCUCCACCUCCCUAAAUUUUCUUACUUUCUUUUUGCUUUUAUCUAUUUGUCUGAUUGUG